rnacentral:lncRNA from 1 species
UGCACUGCCCCAGAGGACCAAGGUUCUCUGGGCCAGAAGCCCCCAACCAGAUGAUCCAACAACAGGACUGAGGGUGCCUGGGGCAAGCGCCAGCUCAUGCCAUCACCCUCACUGAGCCCCAGUUAAGGUGGCAGGAGUGGAAUCUUGGAUUCACUACACCCAAGUUAAACUUUGGACACCCCCUGAAGAACCUGCGGGAUCAUCAGCUCAGGCGUCCCAAGUUCAGCCAGACCAGCCUCGAUACACCUGUGAACCAUUGAAGGAUUUGCGUCUCCUAUUUUGGAAGGAAACGUCCCAGAUUAAAAAGGCUCCCACAGCUGAUCCUGAGGAAAAACCCCUUCC